CAUUUCAAACUAAAAAGGACUUUAAGGUACGACUGGAAGGAACUGGCUAUUUAGGCUACAUUUUGAUGGAUACCCCAGAAAGAAGAUUGUGUAAAAGACAUGCUUAAAAGCAAUGGGGUUUUGUUGCUGUCAGUAUAAAGUGGUGUUUGCAAAGUUUUCCAACUACACUGAUGGAACUACAUCGAUCUCAAACCCUCGCCACUCAAGAAAAACCAUAACAACAACAACAACAGCAAACAAUUGCGGUUACCAGAGCCUGCCAGAUCCAGCUCUGUUCCUGCUUGGUGUGGGACUCCACUGCUAUAUGUCACUGAGAGAUGAUGACAAACUACAGCCAGUGCUAGCCAGACAUCACUUCAGUUUUUUGACUUAAGAGGAUGAACUGAUGCCAACUCCAACUGUAAGACAUUGGAUACUUCAUAUGGCACUGCCUGAACCUUGGACUUAGGAUGGACCCCACCGAACCUCACCGAAAUUACCUGCAAGUUGAACUGCGAUGCACCUCAUCAUUUAUCUCUGCCUGCAUCACCUUUGUCUAUUGAUGGACAACACUCUUGAAAUUGAAUACAUAGACUAUCAUUUAAUUGCCAAAAAAAGCCUUCAUCAGCCAACUAACAAAGAACAAUGCAUCUAUGUGAACUUCUGCAGUUAAUUCAGGAUGGACUUCAAAGAUAUUAGUCAUUAAUCUUAAAGUUCAUAAAAAAUUAUUUUAUUUUUAUUUUUAAAACACUGUACCUUAAUGCUUACUUAAUUUACAAAUUUUAAACCAUGACUUACACUGCACACAAAUAACUAAUAUUGCCAUUAUAUUCAUGUUGUUUAGCAAAUGGGGAACUGGCCCCCACAGUGAGCCUGGAUUCUCCCAAGGUUAUUUUAUAUUUUAUGGAGUUUUGUGUUCCUUGCCACAGUUGCCUUCAGCUUGCUCACAGGGGUUCUAAAUACAAUUAUAAUUUAAUUAUUUAAUUUCUAUACACAUUUUACAAUCAUAUUUAAUCAUACUACAGAAUAAUCACUGUAAGACAUUAUAGAUAUUACAGUUUAUUUUUUAUUUUUUUAAUGCAUGAUUUCCUGUAAAGCUGCUUUGAAACGAUGUGUGUUGUGAGCGCUAUACAAAUAAAAAUGACCACACACACACACACACACACACACACACACACACACACACACACACACACACACACACACACACACCCUGUGUGAACAAUAGGCUGAUUGUGAGGUCUAGUAGGGUAUUGUUGAGGGGUGUCAGGCAGGGGGUGUGAGGAUGACCCCUCUGAAAGUCUCACAGCAUUUCUGGACACCAUCCCCACAAAUCACAGCAGGAAAACGAAAGUAAAUUUGAAAACAGGAAAGAGGGCUUUGGGGACCAAAAGGUGUAUAGAUAUAGAAUACAUACUGUACAUAAAAGGUAUGGAUACACAAAAAAACAAAAAAAAAAAACAAAAGGAGCGAGAGAAAUCAGGGAGGAAAAGACAAACCUUAAAGGGAUAGUUCUCCCAAAAAUGUGAGUUCUGUGGUCAUUUAUACACCCUUGUGUUGUUCCAAACCUGUAGGACUUUCUUUGUUCUGUGAAACACAAGAGGAGAAAUUCUCCAUAAUGUUGAUGCUGAUCUCUUGUUUUUCUUAGACAGUAAAAGAGAAUGGGGACUAAGGUUAACAUCUAACCUAACAUCUCCUUUGUGCUCCAUGGAAGAAUGAAAGUCAUACAGGUUUGGAACAAAAUUAUUAAAUGUUGACUAAAUCAUGAGAUCUCAUGCCAAGAGAAAUCUUGAUUAUGAUUUCACAACUGCUGUAUCAGCACAGCCUAAUACAUUUAUCAUUCAUAUUGUUAAUAUAUAUCCAAAACAAAGUUAUAAUAUAAAAUUUGUAAUUUACUGUAUAUGCCAUACCAUAGGAUGAAGUCCUGGUUUAGUUUUCCAGUGUGAACUAAUGACAAAUGGGAACAAUAUUAUUAUUAGUAGUAGUAGUAAUAGUAGUAGUAUUUUACAUGUACCAUCAUUAGUGUAAGUGUAAACAGUAUAAAGGAAUAAGGACACACAAUACAAGGAAAUACAAAGGCUUCAACUAAAGAGGCAGUUCUUCAGCAGAAAAAAUAAAAGAAAAUAAAAGUAUUUUUUUAGGUUAAUGUGUUUGUUGCAUUCACAAUACUUGGUUUGUGGGCUACAACUGGGAGUAGAUGAAUCUAUUGUAGUGUUCGAUAUAGGUCACACAGCCCUGGGAGUAGGGGAAACUCCCAGAAGUCCUGAUGUGACAUUCAGUCAAUUAAUUGAAAGAAGUCUAUGAAUAUUAUUGGGUUACAUGCAUUAGUAUGGGCUACAUAUGUUAUAUUUUAAUUAGUGUAAAAAUUCAGGCUUUACAUUUCUUUUUGUAACCCAUCUGGAACCCUUUUUCCAUUGACUUCCAUUAUAAUGGUUUAAUGUAAACAAACUACAUAUACUGUACAUAAACUUUAAUUUUUGAGUUGAAAGGCCAAAGGACUUAGAACAUUUUUAGGGUGUCUCAAUACCCAAUAAAUUCAAAAGUUUGUUUAAAAAAUGCUUAAGUGCAUCAUGUGAUAAAUUCACAUAAAUUCAUGUUUAUGUGUCCGAACUUGCCCAUGCUAGCAUGUUUAUUGUACAAACACAUCCAAAAGUGAGUAUCAAAGAAAGAAAAUAAUGCUUUAUGGAGCAAUCACAACCUGCUUGAACACUUGAACAUGAGCAUUCAGGAGUACUGCAUAAAUUAUUAGCAGGAAGCCAAUGUGCAGUAAAGUUGUUACUACAUAGCUAGCUAGCUUGCUAAAAGGGAAAUUGAAGUGUGAAAAAUGAAACACACACUCGAUGA